rnacentral:tRNA from 1 species
GGGAAAGUAGCUCAGUGGUAGAGUGCUUGCCUUGCAUGCAUGAAGCCCUGGGUUCAAUUCCUCAGCACCA